rnacentral:rRNA from 1 species
GGACGUACCUCUGGUGUACCAGUUGUCCUGCCAAGGGCAUGGCUGGGUAGCUAUGUACGGAAUGGAUAAGCGCUGAAAGCAUCUAAGCGCGAAGCCAACUUCAAGAUAAGAUUUCCCACCGCAAGGGGUAAGACCCCAGAAAGACUAUCUGGUUGAUAGGUCGAAGGUGUAAGUGCAGCAAUGUAUUUAGCUUAUCGAUACUAAUAGGUCGAGGACUUGACCAA